GACGUAGGGUCCGAGCGUUGUCCGGAUUUACUGGGCGUAAAGAGCGCGCAGGCGGUCGUUCAAGUCGCGUGUGAAAGCCCCCGGCUCAACUGGGGAGGGUCACGCGAUACUGAUCGACUCGAAGGCAGGAGAGGGUAGUGGAAUUCCCGGUGUAGUGGUGAAAUGCGUUAGAUAUCGGGAGGAACACCGGUGGCGAAGGCGGUUCUCUGGGCCUUACCUGACGCUGAGGCGCGAAAGCUAGGGGAGCAAACAGG
rnacentral:rRNA from 1 species